GUUAAAUCCCAAUUCAGUACAUCCUAACAAGAUAAGGCUGACCAGUAAACUCAUCCUUUUAACCAGUAUUGCUGAAUUCCUAUUUCAGCAUAAACAACUGUGCUGAGCUCUGGGGACACACUGUUGAGCAGGACACUUAAGAAUCUCCUGGGAGGCAGAGCCACGUGAACCACCAAUGAGAAUACAAUGUGGUAAGUGUCACCACAGGUGCAGACUCUGAGAGCCACACAAGAACACAGAAGGCUUCUAACCCAGUCUUGGGUGUGUCGGGGAAGAUUUCAAGGACAGAAAAGAACGUUCCAGAAAGGCAGGAAAAAAAAGUCUUGUAGCAUCUUCCUAUUGAAUUGAUCCUAUGUUUAUGUUUCUUUUGGAAAUUUCCUUUCAUUUGACAUUAUGUCAUCGACCACUUCAAGGCUUUGAUGGAAUGACUCGAGGAAAAGGAAAAGGUCACAAUUACUAGAAAGAACCCAAAAGGACACGAGAGAUGAAAUAGUUGGAAGACUUCUGUAAUAAAUGUUUCCUUACAAGAGCAGAGAUCCGGGCGCCGUGUCUGGGUAAUGUCUGCUCAACACAGCAGAAGGAUAAGAGGAAAUCUUUGGGAUGCCGAUUUGCCAAAGUCUGAAGGAGGAACCAUCUGGAACCAGCGGCACUACAAAUCCCACGUUCCCCGAAGCCUCAAGGAUUUCCUCGUGGGUCUGGGGGGUUAAUCUGACAAAAUAGCAGUGGCUUUGGGACUCCCAGGGCACAGAGGUUGGGCCAAGGCCUCAUCCUUUCGUCCCUCCCUCCGGUGCACGCUGUCCACAGGCACAGCUCUCCACGUCAAGAGCCACGUACACAGGCGCGGACAGAUGCCAACAGAGUGUGAGCGGCCCCCAGGCUGCGGCCUCCCGAGCGGGGCAUCCCGACGCGGCCUGGUGCGUCCCCAAAAACUCCGCGGGACCCCGAGGCCCCCGUGCGGCGUUCCCCAAAGCACCUCGCGAUUCGCCCUGACGUCUUAAAACUCUCGAGGUUUUCCACGUCGCCGGCGAGCGCUGGGCUCGCCCGGGGCGAGCCCGGCGGGCGCGCACUUGGCAGCCUUCCAGCUGGCCCACCUCGGCGGGAGGAGGCGUUGGCGGGGCUGAGAAAGGCCAGUGCCUCCGCACCUCCAGGAUCCUCU
rnacentral:lncRNA from 1 species